rnacentral:rRNA from 1 species
UACGAAGGGGGCUAGCGUUGUUCGGAAUUACUGGGCGUAAAGCGUGCGCAGGCGGUUUCCCAAGUCAGUGGUGAAAGCCCGGAGCUCAACUCCGGAACUGCCAUUGAAACUGUGAAGCUCGAGGACGAGAGAGGUGAGUGGAAUUCCCAGUGUAGAGGUGAAAUUCGUAGAUAUUGGGAAGAACACCCAGUGGCGAAGGGCGGCUCACUGGCUCGUAACUGACGCUCAUGCACGACAGCGUGGGGAGCAAACAGG